rnacentral:tRNA from 1 species
GGACUCGUGGUCUAGGGGUUAUGACGUCGCCUUCACAUGGCGAAGAUCGCCAGUUCAAAUCUGGCCGAGUCCACCA